rnacentral:rRNA from 1 species
GACAGAGGGUGCAAACGUUGCUCGGAAUCACUGGGCGUAAAGGGCGUGUAGGCGGGUAGAUAAGUCGGGCGUGAAAUCCCUAGGCUCAACCUAGGAACUGCACUCGAAACUGUUUAUCUUGAGUGCCGGAGAGGAAAGCGGAAUUCCUGGUGUAGAGGUGAAAUUCGUAGAUAUCAGGAGGAACACCGGUGGCGAAGGCGGGACUCUGGGCCGAUACUGACGCUGAGG